AAUCUUAGAUUAUAAUAACUUAUUAUAUUCAGUUGUAUAUAUUACGUAACUUUAUUCACUAAUAUUUUAUACUACAAUAUAUUAUCAUUAAUGCGUAUAUGACACUAUUAUUAUUAUUCGUAUGGCGGCUUAAACGAUUAUAAAAUAACGACGAUGUUAUUGUUGCGGGGUCUAACUUCGUUGAGACCGAAGUCAAGAUUAGAACAUUUUUCUACGUCUUUUGCACGGUUUGUAAACGACUAUUUCUCUCCGAAACACUACUAUAUUUGUUAUUAAUAUAGGAUAGCGCGUUGGGAUAAAUCCGUUGUUAUUUUUUGAAAUAAAACUUUGACGGCGCAACUUUUUAACUUGUUAACCUUGACUACGUUACCGAUGUGUAUUGAGAACGGCUGAAGCGCUAAUAUCAUUAAUGUGAUGACCAUGACGGCUAAUAACCGUAUGUGCAACGAUUGUCGGCCGUACGCGCCCAACAAUUUUCUCUCAAUUUUCAACGCGAAGGUCACAUUGCGACUUUCCAAACCAGCUCGUGUCGAUCAACGCGUGAUUCCGAACGACAUGAGAGGUAUUUUUUUAUUUUUUCAAUUUUAAUUUUUCGUUUUAAACGUAUAUCCGACCGAACGGGCCAGAAUACCGUCCGACUCGGGAAGGGGGAACCGGUGCGCGUUCUCCCCGCAGGCCGCCGACGGUCGGAACGAACGUAGCGACGGACUCUCGGGCACGUCGUCAGUCAGCGACCGUCGUUCGUGGUACGCACCGGCCAACAACCAACGACGUCGUAUCAGCUGGUCCGCUGUACGUUCACGUAACGCUUUUCGGUUUCCUCUAUUGCGUUUGGAUUUUUUUUUCUUUUUCUUCGUCCGAUUAACGCAUCCGUAUCACCUCAUCUGCCACCGUCGCCGAUCACGUAACUACGUUUAUCAAAAAAAAAAAAUCAAAAAUCUAUACGCAGGAAACGCAGUCGCGCAGAAGAGUUGAUGCAUCGCGAUCCACAACUGUUUCAUCACCGCGUUGACGAUAUUCUCGCUACGCUCCGACGUGCACUGUUCACAUCGUAAACCCGUCCGCCGUCCGAAGACCGUAAGUACAUGUAAUCACAACGCGAGGUCGCGAUUCCAAGCAAUAAUCCAAGCACCUCCUUCGUCCCAACAGCAAUUCCGUAGUGUUAGUUAUGCGUUUCCGCGCCGGUUUCGGUCGCUCGUACGCGCGACGUUUUGUCAACGGACAACAGCCGUAUUCGAUUUGCUCUCGGAGUCCGUUUUAUCGUUUUUUUUUUUUCUCGUCGACGUUUCGUUGAUCAUCGAUAUCAGCUAUUGAACUAUGACCGCUUCUGUUGUACACCAUACUCUCCGCGCUCAAUCGCACCGUUCCGUAGAGCGUUCUGAGAGUGAAAAGAUCCAUUCAUUAGAAGAUGAGCCAUGAGAAUUCGGAUUGCUUGAGUGAAUGUGUCCCAUAAGAAAUGUACAAAGAAGAAUCGCGUUUAGUAAGUAACUUAAGUAAGGUAGGAGUUGAGUAAAUUUCAACGAUUGAUAACAUAUAUGUGUCUAAAUACCUUCCAUUUAAAAAAAAAAUUAAGGAAAUCAGCUGGAGAGAAUGGCCAGAUGAACUAAUUUUAGU
rnacentral:misc_RNA from 1 species